AAACAAGGAAAGGAAAUUACGAAAUCCGACGAACCUUCGCCAGAAAAUUUAUUAAAAAUGUUACUGUCUGCGGUAUAAAACGAUACAACUGCCAUCGAUAAGAACGAUUCGACCAAAUAAAAUCCAGGCGCGAAAGAAUUUUAUGUAACCCGUGGAUCUCGGUUGGCAAAAGCUUUCAAGAAGAACGAGUGUAGCCUGUAAAGUAGAUGUCCAGAGCCGAACGGCAGCUGCACGAGAGAAGCUUAUUUUUAAAUCAACGUCCAUUAAGGCUGGAGCGCAAGGAUUGUCCAAUGACGACCAUCGCCGUACGCGCCGAGGCACGAAACGAAAGAUUAUCCGCUUGCACAUGGAAGACGACUCGCUGCUGAGAGGAUCGUACGUGUGUAACAGAGGCGUGAAAAAAAUUGCACGCUUUAACAGCCGCGUAUAAAUUAUACGCAACCGAGCCGAUCAUGCACCGCGAUAUGGCACGUGCACGUGUGUAAUUGUCGUUCAAAAUAUCGUUGGUCGUUGCGAUAAGUGUGAAUCAGAGAUGAGGAACGUUCGAUGAAACGCCGGAUGAUUGGCGCGAUUUCUAUCAUACUUUCUAUCGCGAGGUACAAGCAUAAGUAAAUAUGUAAUUUAA
rnacentral:misc_RNA from 1 species